GUUUGUGGCUCAGAGGUAGAGUGCUUGCCUGGCAUGUGUGAGGCGCUGGGUUCAAUCCUCAGCAACACA
rnacentral:tRNA from 1 species